ACGCUCGACACCUACGGGAGGCAGCAGUUGGGAAUAUUGGACAAUGGAGGAAACUCUGAUCCAGUGACGCCGCGUGAAGGAAGAAGGUCUUCGGAUUGUAAACUUAUUUUGUCAGGGAAGAAAAAUGACUGUACCUGAAGAAAAAGCACCGGCUAACUACGUGCCACAGCCGCGGUAAUCUGAGCGGGCUGGCAAGGC
rnacentral:rRNA from 1 species